GCCAUCGGUGCUCUUCGAGAGGGAUUUCAAGCUGACCCUACUGAAUGGACGACUUGGCGACCACGGGAACCUGAAAAGGCGGUGGUGUAUCUGUUGGCGUCGGCUGUGCAUUGACAGGCGAGGCCUACCCCAUUGACGCUGACGUUGAAAGCCGGUGUCCUGGGCGCCUUCAGGUUGGGGAAUGCGUCCCUGUGGCGUACUGCGGGUGUGAAUGGCGCAUGCGGCGAAGGCGUACUCAACAUCAUGAAGAAGGGACGUCGCUGAUCUACUCGACCCUCGAGGAAUGACAGUGCCUUGGCUCUCUGCAGCGAAACAGCAGCAACAGCAAGGAGAAUGCACCUUCGCACACGUCCAAAGUUGCGGCUGGCAAACUGAAGACCGUGGGUUUCAAAUCGGUUCACCAUCCCCCUAUUCACCCGACCUGGCGCCUUCUGACUACCAUCUGUUUCCGAACUCGAAGAAACCCCUGAAGCGUCGCCAGUUUGACGGCAUUGUUGAUGUCAAACAUGGUGCUGAGAGCUUGUUUGACGACCUAUAACAAAAUUUUUUU